AUACGAAAGGGGCUAGCGUUGUUCGGAAUUACUGGGCGUAAAGCGUACGUAGGCGGACUGGAAAGUUGGGGGUGAAAUCCCGGGGCUCAACCCCGGAACUGCCUCCAAAACUUCCAAUCUAGAGAUCGAGAGGGGUGAGUGGAAUUCCAAGUGUAGAGGUGAAAUUCGUAGAUAUUUGGAGGAACACCAGUGGCGAAGGCGGCUCACUGGCUCGAUACUGACGCUGAGGUACGAAAGCGUGGGGAGCAAACAGGAUUAGAAACCCUAGUAGUCC
rnacentral:rRNA from 1 species